rnacentral:rRNA from 1 species
GUCGACGCUUCUUUUUCCACCGGAGCUUGCUCCACCGGAAAAAGAGGAGUGGCGAACGGGUGAGUAACACGUGGGUAACCUGCCCAUCAGAAGGGGAUAACACUUGGAAACAGGUGCUAAUACCGUAUAACAAUCAAAACCGCAUGGUUUUGAUUUGAAAGGCGCUUUCGGGUGUCGCUGAUGGAUGGACCCGCGGUGCAUUAGCUAGUUGGUGAGGUAACGGCUCACCAAGGCCACGAUGCAUAGCCGACCUGAGAGGGUGAUCGGCCACAUUGGGACUGAGACACGGCCCAAACUCCUACGGGAGGCAGCAGUAGGGAAUCUUCGGCAAUGGACGAAAGUCUGACCGAGCAACGCCGCGUGAGUGAAGAAGGUUUUCGGAUCGUAAAACUCUGUUGUUAGAGAAGAACAAGGAUGAGAGUAACUGUUCAUCCCUUGACGGUAUCUAACCAGAAAGCCACGGCUAACUACGUGCCAGCAGCCGCGGUAAUACGUAGGUGGCAAGCGUUGUCCGGAUUUAUUGGGCGUAAAGCGAGCGCAGGCGGUUUCUUAAGUCUGAUGUGAAAGCCCCCGGCUCAACCGGGGAGGGUCAUUGGAAACUGGGAGACUUGAGUGCAGAAGAGGAGAGUGGAAUUCCAUGUGUAGCGGUGAAAUGCGUAGAUAUAUGGAGGAACACCAGUGGCGAAGGCGGCUCUCUGGUCUGUAACUGACGCUGAGGCUCGAAAGCGUGGGGAGCAAACAGGAUUAGAUACCCUGGUAGUCCACGCCGUAAACGAUGAGUGCUAAGUGUUGGAGGGUUU